CAUGGCAGACGGGUGAGUAAUGUAUAGGAAUCUACCUAGUAGUACGGAAUAAUUGUUGGAAACGACAACUAAUACCGUAUACGCCCUACGGGGGAAAAAUUUAUUGCUAUUAGAUGAGCCUAUAUUAGAUUAGCUAGUUGGUGGGGUAAUAGCCUACCAAGGUAAUGAUCUAUAGCUGAUCUGAGAGGAUGAUCAGCCACACUGGAACUGAGAUACGGUCCAGACUCCUACGGGAGGCAGCAGUGGGGAAUAUUGGACAAUGGGCGAAAGCCUGAUCCAGCCAUGCCGCAUGAGUGAAGAAGGCCUUUGGGUUGUAAAGCUCUUUUAGUGAGGAAGAUAAUGACGGUACUCACAGAAGAAGUCCUGGCUAACUCCGUGCCAGCAGCCGCGGUAAUACGGAGAGGGCUAGCGUUAUUCGGAAUUAUUGGGCGUAAAGGGCGCGUAGGCUGGUUAAUAAGUUAAAAGUGAAAUCCCGAGGCUUAACCUUGGAAUUGCUUUUAAAACUAUUAAUCUAGAGAUUGAAAGAGGAUAGGGGAAUUCCUGAUGUAGAGGUAAAAUUCGUAAAUAUUAGGAGGAACACCAGUGGCGAAGGCGUCUAUCUGGUUCAAAUCUGACGCUGAAGCGCGAAGGCGUGGGGAGCAAACAGGAUUAGAUACCCUGGUAGUCCACGCUGUAAACGAUGAAUGUUAAAUAUGGGGAGUUUACUUUCUGUAUUACAGCUAACGCGUUAAACAUUCCGCCUGGGGACUACGGUCGCAAGAUUAAAACUCAAAGGAAUUGACGGGGACCCGCACAAGCGGUGGAGCAUGUGGUUUAAUUCGAUGCAACGCGAAAAACCUUACCAC
rnacentral:rRNA from 1 species